rnacentral:rRNA from 1 species
UACGUAGGGGGCAAGCGUUGUCCGGAUUUAUUGGGCGUAAAGAGCGUGUAGGCGGCCAGGUAGGUCCGUUGUGAAAACUCGAGGCUCAACCUCGAGACGCCGAUGGAAACCAUCUGGCUAGAGUCCGGAAGAGGAGAGUGGAAUUCCUGGUGUAGCGGUGAAAUGCGCAGAUAUCAGGAAGAACACCCGUGGCUAAGGCGGCUCUCUAGUACGGUACUGACGCUGAGACGCGAAAGCGUGGGGAGCAAACAGG